rnacentral:rRNA from 1 species
GUGGGGAAUUUUGGACAAUGGGGGCAACCCUGAUCCAGCCAUGCCGCGUGAGUGAAGAAGGCCUUCGGGUUGUAAAGCUCUUUCAGCCGGAAAGAAAACGCACUUAUUAAUACUAGGUGUGGAUGACGGUACCGGAAGAAGAAGCACCGGCUAACUACGUGCCAGCAGCCGCGGUAAUACGUAGGGUGCGAGCGUUAAUCGGAAUUACUGGGCGUAAAGCGUGCGCAGGCGGUUUUGUAAGACAGGUGUGAAAUCCCCGGGCUUAACCUGGGAACUGCAUUUGUGACUGCAAGGCUAGAGUGUAGCAGAGGGGGGUAGAAUUCCACGUGUAGCAGUGAAAUGCGUAGAUAUGUGGAGGAAUACCGAUGGCGAAGGCAGCCCCCUGGGCUAACACUGACGCUCAUGCACGAAAGCGUGGGGAGCAAACAGGAUUAGAAACCCGGGUAGUCC